GACGAACGCUGGCGGCGUGCUUAACACAUGCAAGUCGAACGAGAGCGUAGAGAAAGCUUGCUUUUUCUACAAUCUAGUGGCAAACGGGUGAGUAACGCGUAAACAACCUGCCCUACGGAUGGGGACAACAGCUGGAAACGGCUGCUAAUACCGAAUACGUUCCGAAAGUCGCAUGACUAUCGGAAGAAAGGAUGGCCUCUAUUUAUAAGCUAUCGCCGGAGGAGGGGUUUGCGUCUGAUUAGCUAGUUGGAGGGGUAACGGCCCACAAAGGCGACGAUAAGUAGCCGGUCUGAGAGGAUGAACGGCCACAUUGGAACUGAGACACGGUCCAGACUCCUACGGGAGGCAGCAGUGGGGAAUCUUCCGCAAUGGGCGAAAGCCUGACGGAGCAACGCCGCGUGAGUGAAGACGGCCUUCGGGUUGUAAAGCUCUGUUAUACGGGACGAAUAAUCUUGUGGUUAAUACCCAUGAGAAGUGACGGUACCGUAAGAGAAAGCCACGGCUAACUACGUG
rnacentral:rRNA from 1 species